rnacentral:rRNA from 1 species
CCCUUAGAUGUUCUGGGCCGCACGCGCGCUACACUGAGUGGAUCAGCGGGUCAGGUUACGCGAGAGCGUUUCCUAAUCUUCAAAUCCGCUCGUGAUGGGGAUUGACGGUUGCAAUUUUCCGUCAUGAACGAGGAAUACCUUGUAAGCGCGGGUCAUCAUCCCGCGCUGAAUACGUCCCUGCCCUUUGUACACACCGCCCGUCGCUCCUACCGAUUGAGUGGUCCGGUGAGGCUUUGGGAUCUAAGCGAAAAGAGCGUUUCGCUCCUUUUGCUGGGAGAACUCAGUCGAACCUUAUCAUUUAGAGGAAGGAGAAGUCGUAACA